rnacentral:rRNA from 1 species
GACGAACGCUGGCGGCGUGCCUAAUACAUGCAAGUAGAACGCUGAAGGAGGAGCUUGCUUCUCUGGAUGAGUUGUGAACGGGUGAGUAACGCGUAGGUAACCUGCCUGGUAGCGGGGGAUAACUAUUGGAAACGAUAGCUAAUACCGCAUAAGAGUAGAUGUUGCAUGACAUUUGCUUAAAAGGUGCAAUUGCAUCACUACCAGAUGGACCUGCGUUGUAUUAGCUAGUUGGUGGGGUAACGGCUCACCAAGGCGACGAUACAUAGCCGACCUGAGAGGGUGAUCGGCCACACUGGGACUGAGACACGGCCCAGACUCCUACGGGAGGCAGCAGUAGGGAAUCUUCGGCAAUGGACGGAAGUCUGACCGAGCAACGCCGCGUGAGUGAAGAAGGUUUUCGGAUCGUAAAGCUCUGUUGUAAGAGAAGAACGAGUGUGAGAGUGGAAAGUUCACACUGUGACGGUAUCUUACCAGAAAGGGACGGCUAACUACGU